UGACCUGCCUUGAAGUGGGGGAUAACCACUGGAAACGGUGGCUAAUACCGCAUGACUUAUCUUGGAUGGGAAUUUAGGAUAAGAAAGUUUCGGCGCUAUGAGAGGGGCCUACGGCCGAUUAGCUAGUUGGUGAGGUAACGGCUCACCAAGGCGAUGAUCGGUAGCUGGUCUGAGAGGACGAUCAGCCACACGGGAACUGAGACACGGUCCCGACUCCUACGGGGGGCAGCAGUGAGGAAUAUUCGGCAAUGGGGGGAACCCUGACCGAGCAACGCCGCGUGGAGGAUGACGGUUUUUGGAUUGUAAACUCCUUUUCUCAGGGAAGAGUGAGGACGGUACCUGAGGAAUAAGUCACGGCUAACUACGUGCCAGCAGCCGCGGUAAUACGUAGGUGGCAAGCGUUAUCCGGAAUUACUGGGCGUAAAGCGCACGCAGGUGGCUUGCUAAGACUGACGUGAAAGCUCCUGGCUUAACUGGGAGAGGUCGUUGGAGACUGGCAGGCUUGAGGCGAGGAGAGGGGUGUAGAAUUCCCGGUGUAGUGGUGGAAUGCGUAGAGAUCGGGAGGAAUACCAGUGGCGAAAGCGGCACCCUGGCCUUGGCCUGACGCUCAGGUGCGAAAGCGUGGGGAGCGAACGGGAUUAGAUACCCCGGUAGUCCACGCGGUAAACGAUGAAUACUAGGUGUAGGUGGUGUCAAAACUAUCUGUACCGCAGCCAACGCGAUAAGUAUUCCGCCUGGGGAGUACGACCGCAAGGUUAAAACUCAAAGGAAUUGACGGGGGCCCGCACAAGCAGCGGAGCGUGUGGUUUAAUUCGAUGCAACGCGAAGAACCUUACCUAGGUUUGACGUAGCCGUAGUAGUG
rnacentral:rRNA from 1 species